rfam:halophilic archaeon J07HB67 genomic scaffold scf_7180000098878, whole genome shotgun sequence.
GCGUCGGUAGUGUAGUGGUAUCACGUGACCUUGCCAUGGUCGCAACCCGGGUUCAAAUCCCGGCCGACGCA